rnacentral:pre_miRNA from 1 species
UGGAGGAACAACCACAGUGGCCGCGGCCAGCUCUGGAGCCCUGGAUUCAGCUCCCGCAGGAACUCCGGAGCUCUCCGUCUGCAGGGCCUGGAUGCCCCCGGGGCGGG